UAGCUCCAAAUCUUGGGGAAAAGUUUACAAACAAUGGCUGAGGAGCAACCUCCAGCAUGCGACGAAACGCCCGUCCCCCUUCUCCUAAUGCCAGCGGACACAACAGAGCCGGUUAACGAGAAGGUUACCGACAAGCAGCGAGCUGAAACGAAAGCGUUAGCCCGAAACAAAAACAGAGUAAACAUUGGAGCUGUUUUUCUCAGGUGGAAGCACGUACGGGAACAGAGAGGAUUCAAAACAGAUGCAGAGUUCGCCACAUUUCUGCUGGACAGGACAGAGGAAAUUACUUGUUUUCCACGUGAGGACAAAGGACAUGGGUCGACAUCAGAAGAGGAAACAGCAAAAGAGGAUGGUUGCUAUGAUGAUAGCAAUGAUCAGGAUUACGUUCCCCCUGUACAUGUUCGCACUGGCUGCCUGAGUGCUCCCAAGGCGAUCACCAAGCAGGUCACCGUGCAUGAUGCUGUAGAUGCAGAACAAACAGAACAGCCACCAGGAGCAGAAACAAUCCACGUUCAGAGUGAGGACAGCAACACUGGUCAUACUGGAUUCAUUAUUUAGUCAUGAUUGUCUGGAAAACGGUCAGGUUUUCUGUGUAACCUUCAAAAACCUGAAAACACCUGUCCAGCAGAUCAGUCUUCCCAGACACCAGGGGCUUCCUCCAGACCUCCAUCGUAUGAGCAGGAGCUCACUCCAUCUGUCUCACAUCACAACGUGCCAAAGAAAAUAAACCGUAAUGAGACGAACACUGACGAAAAUCCCAGUGAAGACCACAGACCUGAAACACAGGAUCACAGCACGGCACCCACAGGUGAAGGAGUGUUAUUGAAAAUGUAUUAAAAAGACUGACAGACAGUACAUGUGCUGCACAAGAUGUAGCUAAAAAUCAUGUUCAUGUCUUGGGCUUCACCAACAUUCAUUAUGAAAGAUGGUCCUUCUUUUUGUGGUACACAUGAAUAUUAUUUUGAGCUUCAUUUAAUUUGUGGUUUAACUUUUUGCCUUCUGUCAGAAAGAUAUCAAAAGUAACAGACAGUCGAUUUUUUGUCUUCUCCUUUUUUUAUGCUUUAUAUGUCUGAAAACUAUUGAAAUAAGAGAAAGAUCUACACACACUUUAAUAUCAUAAUUUGAUUAUAAAUGGAACCCAUACACACGAUUCUUGCAGUGCAACAACUUCACACUGACAGAUUUCUGUAUUUAUUCACUAUUGAGGAGAAACUCUAACUCUAGAACCUACCAGUGUACAGAGCAGCUCCCAGGAGCUUUAUAAACCAAAGAAGACGUACUACUGCCCGACCUGCGAAAGAAUGUUCCCCCGGCACAACGCCCUGAAACGACACCUCGUGAUUCACUCGGGAAAAAGACCUUUCAAAUGCUUCAUAUGUGGGAGAGGAUUCACCCAGGGCGGAAACCUCAAGACACACAUGAAAGUUCACAGAGGAGAGCUACCAAAGUGGACAUUAAUUCAAGAGAAGAGCGAGCCUAAAGCAUCUCCUGCUACAGUUCACAUGUGUGGGGAGUGUGGAAUGGACUUCCCUGAGAAAGAUAAGCUAGAGGAACACCGCGAGACUCACUGGAAGCCCUUUGCAUGUCCUGACUGUGGGAAGAGAUUCAAACAUAAUAAGAGUGUUAAAAUGCAUAUGCGCCUCCACUCAGGAGAUUUACCUUAUCUGUGUUCAGAGUGUGGAAAGACUUGUGUCACGAUGGAAAUGCUUAAAAAACACAAGUUAACCCAUACCGGAGAAAAGAACUACCACUGUGAUCAGUGUGGGAGGGCAUUUUUGCAAUCUUACAACCUCAAUUUGCACCUGAAGACUCACACUGGAGAGCGAUCUUUUCUGUGCUCGAUCUGUGGGAAACGUUACUCCAGAGCAGAUACCCUAAAAGUUCACCUGAGAGUUCACACCGGAGAGAACCCGUAUGCGUGUAAGAUAUGUGGGAAGUGUUUCUAUUACUAUCAAGGCUAUCAAGCGCAUGUGAAGAUUCAUGACAAGAAGCCAAAAACAUCCAUGAGAACUUUGGGGAGACCGAAACAGCAGUUGAUAGUGGUAAAUAAACAGUAAUGUGAUCAAGAACAUUUACAGCAGUCUGAGAAGCCUUUGAUUAUUAAACCUAAACAAAGACAUGUACUCCUUUCUGUUAAUGUGACUUCUGAGGUUCAAGAGAUAUAUGCAAGACUCUGACCUCGUGCAUUAUGUAUGCCAAUUGAUGUAUUUUUAUAUCUUGCAAGUAGUAUGCAAUACUGUGCAAGCAUGGUGUCUUGUCCCAUCAGUGUUGUAAUGAACGUAGCAGUCUGUUGUCACUUUAACAGAUUCAUCAAGCCAGCAAUGAUACCCAGUGUCUGAAAAGAGUUCAUUUGAAAUAAAAUCUCUCAGAUACUCGAGUAGAA